UACAGGAUGGACCCGCGUCUGAUUAGCUGGUGGUUGAGGUAACGGCUCACCAAGGCGACGAUCAGUAGCCGGCUUGAGAGAGUGAACGGCCACAUUGGGACUGAGACACGGCCCAAACUCCUACGGGAGGCAGCAGUGGGGAAUAUUGCACAAUGGGGGAAACCCUGAUGCAGCGACGCCGCGUGAGUGAAGAAGUAUCUCGGUAUGUAAAGCUCUAUCAGCAGGGAAGAAAAUGACGGUACCUGACUAAGAAGCCCCGGCUAACUACGUGCCAGCAGCCGCGGUAAUACGUAGGGGGCAAGCGUUAUCCGGAAUUACUGGGUGUAAAGGGUGCGUAGGUGGUAUGGCAAGUCAGAAGUGAAAACCCAGGGCUUAACUCUGGGACUGCUUUUGAAACUGUCAGACUGGAGUGCAGGAGAGGUAAGCGGAAUUCCUAGUGUAGCGGUGAAAUGCGUAGAUAUUAGGAGGAACAUCAGUGGCGAAGGCGGCUUACUGGACUGAAACUGACACUGAGGCACGAAAGCGUGGGGAGCAAACAGGAUUAGAUACCCUGGUAGUCCACGCCGUAAACGA
rnacentral:rRNA from 1 species